CGAACGGCGGUAGAAACAAUGUUAACGGACUCUGCCGUUUGAGCCAUACCUGAAAUCGUGAACAAUGCCAAUAAAGCAGAUAGCCCAAAUUUGGGGAAAUACUUCAUGUAGGGAUUUUUAAGUAGAUUUCAUCUCAUCAAGCAGACCAUUUAAAAUAAGAUCAUCUGCCCCGCACCUGCAUAGCGCUCACCACCUAAGGCAAUGAUAACCCGGUAAAUAUAAAUACCUUUUUCUAAUUUCCUGCCACUCGCAUCGGCACCAUCCCAACUUAUUUGCGCAUUACGUGAUCCCGCCGAUUGCACAAUCGAUUGCAACUGGCGUACCAGCUGUCCGUUAGACGUGUAGAUACCAACCAUCACUGAAAAUGCUGCCCCGGGUUGGUUGUGUUCGAAAGAAAAAUUGGUAUGUCCCGAAAACGGGUUGGGAUAAUUCAUUAAAUGGGUGAUACUAAGUUUCUCCCGCUUAACUACCAUAAAGUCCAGGCUGGCAGUAGCCGAUUGGUUGGCCACAUUCCAGGCCCGCAAGCGGAUCGUAUGGCGGCCCGGCGUAAGGCCUGAUAACUGGUACUGCAAAGACCCGCGUUGGUAAUUGUCUUUAUCGGCCGUAUAAAAAUCGUUCAACACCAGGGUAUUAUUUUCAUUGCCGUCGACCACCGCAAUGAUAUCAUGACCAAUACCAUUACCCGAUGUGUUGAUGCCCGAUGUAUCGAAUAUCCGCGCAAUGAGCAAAGGAUUUUCAUUGGUCAAUCCGCCGUUCGA
rnacentral:precursor_RNA from 1 species